rnacentral:rRNA from 1 species
UACAGAGGUCCCAAGCGUUGUUCGGAUUCAUUGGGCGUAAAGGGUGUGUAGGUGGCGCCGUAAGUCGGGUGUGAAAUUUCGGAGCUUAACUCUGAAACUGCAUUCGAUACUGCGGUGCUUGAGGAGUGGAGAGGAGACUGGAAUUCAUGGUGUAGCAGUGAAAUGCGUAGAGAUCAUGAGGAAGACCAGUGGCGAAGGCGGGUCUCUGGACAGUUCCUGACACUGAGACACGCAGGCCAGGGGAGCAAACGGG